UUGCUUGAUGAAUGUUUUAGCAUCUGAAAGCAAUCACAAACAUAAAACAGAAGUAGUAAGUUGUGAGGAAUAUCUACAAACCAGAUACAUGCAAAGUAGCCUCGGUGAGUACCAGAUUCACCAUUAUAUUGGUUGCAUCUAAAAGAAAAGUAUCUAGAUACUAAAUAAGAAGGCAGCAAGCUUAAGGCGAAUUUUAGAAAGAGAU